CCUUGCGCGCAUCAGCACUGUGUGUGGGCCAGCUCCACACGGGUCAAGGAGGCCCAGGGUUUGAACCUAUCAGGUGAACCAAAUCUGCUUCCCUAGACCUCUUUCUUAAUGUCCAGUGUCCUUUGUCUUAAGAUUUGGUGCAAGAUGU
rnacentral:snoRNA from 1 species